UGUAAAGGAGGAAAAUUUUAUUUGGGGGCUCAUGGUUUCAGAGGUCUCAAUCCAUAGACAGCAGGCUCCAUUCCUUGGGGCUCAAAGUGAGGCAGAACAUCAUGAUGGAAGAGUAUGGUAGAGGGAAGCAGCCCACGUGGUGAUCAGAAAGCAGAGAGAGACUCCACUCUCCAGAUACCCAAAGGCACAUCCCCAAUUCCUACCUCCUCCAGCCACACCCUACCACUUGCAUUCUCACUCAGUUAAUCCCUAUCAGGGGGUUAAUUCACUGAUUGGGUUAAGGCACUCACAACCCAAUCAUUCUUUCUCUGAACCUUCUUGCUUUGUCUCACAUGUGAGCUUUUGGGGGAUAUCUCACAUCCAAACCAUAAAAUGAUAAUACUUCACUUAUCCUCAUGUUAUCCAGAAAAUAGGAAUCUGACUCAGGGAGAUUUCCUAGAGAACUGUAUUCAUU
rnacentral:lncRNA from 1 species